rnacentral:rRNA from 1 species
AUUGAACGCUGGCGGCAUGCUUUACACAUGCAAGUCGAACGGUAACAGGGUGCUUGCACCGCUGACGAGUGGCGAACGGGUGAGUAAUGCGUCGGAACGUGCCGAGUAGUGGGGGAUAACGCAGCGAAAGUUGUGCUAAUACCGCAUACGUACUGAGGUAGAAAGUGGGGGACCUUCGGGCCUCACGCUAUUCGAGCGGCCGACGUCUGAUUAGCUAGUAGGUGAGGUAAAGGCUCACCUAGGCGACGAUCAGUAGCGGGUCUGAGAGGAUGAUCCGCCCAACUGGGACUGAGACACGGCCCAGACUCAUACGGGAGGCAGCAGUGGGGAAUUUUGGACAAUGGGCGAAAGCCUGAUCCAGCCAUGCCGCGUGUCUGAAGAAGGCCUUCGGGUUGUAAAGGACUUUUGUCAGGGAGGAAAUCCCUAGUGCUAAUAACACUGGGGGAUGACAGUACCUGAAGAAUAAGCACCGGCUAACUACGUGCCAGCCGCCGCCGUAA